rnacentral:tRNA from 1 species
CCUGGUGGCUCAGACGGUAAAGCGUCUGCCUACAAUGCAGGAGACCAGGGUUCAAUCCCUGGGUCAGGA